rnacentral:misc_RNA from 1 species
UAAUAUUAAAGAGCUUUGUUAAACUUAGACUUAAGUUUAGGUCAUUUUGGGGGUUUAGCUCAGUUGGCUAGAGCAUCGGCUUUGCAAGCCGAGGGUCAAGGGUUCGAGUCCCUUAACCUCCAUUGGGCUUAUGUCCUAAAUUGUAAUUAAGUAUGUUUUUAAGCAACUUUAUUAAAGUAAUUGUUGGAAUGUGAAACAGAGGAAGUUAAAAUUUCUGGGUUAAGUUGAGAUCUGUUGAUAUUAAGAAGAAUCUCUAGAAGCAAAAGCAAGCUUUCGAUAAAACCCGAAGUUGUUUCGCUAAAGUGCAAGGAUUAAACAGGAUUGUAUUUUCCAGCAGCCUAUUUUAUAAACGAUCUGCAUUUAGUAAAUAGUUUUUAGUUAGGAAAUAAUGUAUAUUGCUAAGUGUGAUGUCUGAAAGAAGGACAAGUAUUGUAGCGAGCCUAAAUCCUUGUUAUCGUUGCCAGUAUUUAGUGGUAGGGAUUCGGAUAAGACUGCUAUUUAUAAGUUGGAGGAAGGCAAAGAUUGCAUCAAAUCGUUAUCGCUCUUAUGUUUUAGGUUACAAGUUUGCCACAAUAACCCA